rnacentral:rRNA from 1 species
AUGACCAUAGAUCGAACCUAUCCUAUUUUUACAGUGCAAUGGCUGGCUAUUCACGGACUAGCUGUACCUACUGUUUUUUUUCUUGGGAUCAAUAUCAGCAAUGCAGUUCAUCCAACGAUAAACCAAAUUCCAACUAUAGAACUAUGA